UGCCCAUUGGUCCAUUGGAGAUGAAGUAUACGGGAAAGGAGAAUUCAACUCAGAAGUUGUAUAUUCACCUGGAUCCCAGUUUGAGGGGAGACUAAAGAUGAACACCAAAAACCUCAGUUUAACAGUCAGAGACUGCAAGAAACAUUUUUGCAUCUUAUUUUGAUAUAAUUCUUAUUUAUAUCCAUAACCAUGGCUGAUGAUCUUUAAAUUAUAACACAGGUUUUGUGGUUUCAUACUGACCUUACUCACCAAGCGUUAUUAAAUUUCCAUCACAUUUUCAUGUCGUCUUUCUCCUGGUGGUAUGGCUACGGUAGGGUUCAUUUAGAAGACUGAUUGAGUCUCUAUCUCUCUCCUGGUUGGUCAGAGCCUAUAACUACGGUGGCGAUCUAGACAGACAUCAAGCUCUUGGUCAACCACUCCUGUACGGUACGGCUGGUGUGCAACGUGUCCUGCUACCCCAACAUUACCUACACCUGGGAAAGAGACAAUGAGAUGCACGGGGAUGGCCAGCAGAUUCACUUCUCUCUCUCACCAGCAGAGAGAGACAUCAGUGUAAAGUGUAACGCCUCCAACCUAGUCAUUUGGAAAACUGCCUUUGAGACAGGAAAGUGUAGUAAUGACACACCACCCCUUGUACCUAGAUAUCAUAAUAAUCCCUUCUAUACACUUUUCAGUGUGCUUAUACGCUGAUGUUGUCAAAUAUAAUAUGUAGUGCAUGUGAUUACGUUGGAUGUAUAUGAUAUAGAGCAAUAUAGUCUUUAUCAUGUUGAAUAGUCUAUUCAUGUGUGUUGUACAAUAUUUGACAGAACUGGUGUGGUAUACCAUCUACAUCGGAAUAUCAGUAGGAGGCGCUGUAGUGCUGAUCCUCACUGUAGCAGGGGCAGUGUGCUACUGCAGGGGCCGAAGUAACACAGACAACACAACAUAUGCUGAUGUUAUCAUCAACACAAGAAGUAGAGAUACAAGAUCAAACAGUCAUGUAAACCCAACAUCCAUCUAUGAAACUGUCAAUGAUCUGGUUAUCCCAAGAUUGAACAAG